CUUAACUUGUCAAGCUGGUUGAAUUGUUUUCCGACGGGCUACUUUGUCCGCUAAUAACGCCACGGAUUAUCCGCUGAACCGUUUCCCGUGUGCCAUUUACCACGUCCUGUAAUUACGCUUCGCUCUUUAAGCCCUGACGUCAUUGCCCGCCGCUGAUACUUUCACUGCUCCGCGGCGGGACGCGCCUGUGUGCUGCGCUCAGGAAUUCCACCGGCCAUUUUCGAACGCCGAGGGUCUCGUGAGGGCAAACGGAAGCAGAAACGUUUGAACGUGUCCCUCUGUGGCGGCAGAGUGUAUCUGCUCUCCACCUAAUCCUGGACACAAAGCCCGGCUUAGCAGCACCUUUGUGUUCGUCAGGUAGGCAGGCUCGAGGAACAGGCCUCUGCACGCACGCGGCAGCAACCCUGCCGACACCGAGAACAUCUGCGGAGCCCGGUGGAAUGACGCGAGCACGCCGCGCACACAAACAUCUUGCAGAUGUGCCAAUCUUUAAAAGCACCCGGGGAUGUUCUUUCUGGAAGUUAUGAGGUAUUCAGAGCAGCUCCCACAGAGACAAAAAACAUGCAGAGGAAGUUGCAGCAGCAGCUGCAGAUUCACAGGAUCAACGUCCUAACUUAUCUAAAUUUUUGAUGGCAGAUUUGGUUAAUCUACAAACACUGAAGAAGAAACAAAGACGUCAGAACAUGAAAAAUAUAUGUGAAUAAAACAUUAAAAAAUACUUUCACUGAAGUUCGCUGCAGUCCAAAACCGCUUCCGUCCUCAUGAAUCUCUAUUUCAGGUAACGUCAGACUUUUCUUUUUGACGAUUCUAACCGUGGGAUGUGUUUUUGUGGAGCGUAACACACAUUUGGAUGCUGCCGUUUUCAUUAACGCCGUCGUGGUUCUCUGGAGCUCCCAGGAGCAAACUCAUUUUGGCAGCCUGGCGCUGGAUCAGGCCGACCACCUGUCAUCCUAAUUCUGCACAUGGCCUCUGCUGUCAAACACUCCCUCACAUACCUCCCUGCGCCCCACACAGCACCUGUGAUUGGCUCGCCCAUCGCCAUCGCAGCUGUCGGGCUCACCCUCAGCCUUAAUUAGA
ensembl:lncRNA